rnacentral:rRNA from 1 species
AUGAUGGAAACUGGAGUUAAUUGCCAGAGACAGAGCGUCAGAGUUCAGAUUAUGCAUACCCAAGUCAAGCUUGUGGUCACGAUGAAGGUGCUGAUCUGGGUUUCCUAUCUUCAGAACUUAGUGCAGAGCCCAGCCCCAGCAGCAGAGGCUAUGCCGGCAAGCAGGGCAGCAGCGUUGCCUCUAGCGCCAGCAUCGAGGAGCCUUACCCAACCCCCGCGCCAUGGACUCGUGCGCGGCAAGAAGCACGCCAACGAGACCAAGAAGGUGGCCAUGGCUGGGCUCGUUCACUAUUCGUUCAACUUCAGAGCUCAUCAGGUUGAAGGCGCUAAGGUGUUGGAGAUGUGCCUGUACUUGUUGAGUGUUUUAUCUGUAGAGGGCUAUAUUGUGAUUGGUGUAAUAUUGUAUGGUUAUAUUGUGAUUGGUGGAAUGUAA